CCCCUGAGGUGAAUGUUAUUGUGGCAGGAACCUAAUCUUCCAAGUGUUUUCAGAUUAAAUCUCGCAAGGUAGAAAAAACCGAUUUAUUUUCAAUAACUGAGAGAUCUGCAAUGGUCAAAGGCAAACAGUUCCAAACUCAGUGGUGAAUGAGCUCAUUCGCUAUCCUUCUCCACUUAAAUAAGAAUAAUCCGUCAAACGUUUUGAUGCUAAUGCAAGUCAUCUUUUUUUUUUUACUGAAUGUAGAUUUAUUGAUGUGAGUCUACAAGAGAUAGUGAUUCUACUGGCAAACAUUGGUUCUCCAUGAAGGAUAUUCAACCAUCAACCCUCCAUGGUGAAUGUCUCUUACUUCAUUCAAAUAUCCAAUCCUCAAUAUUUCUAAUGCUUGUAUACCAUUCAACCUAACUUGCUUGGGAUUGAGGAGUAAUUGUAAUAUUUCUAAUGCUUAUCCAUUUAAAUCUUCCCUGACAUACAUUUCACUGACCUCGAUUGUAUUUGGUUUUUAUUUUGUAAGCACAAUAAUGCUUCAGGAGAAAAAACAGAGAAGAGUGGAAUAGUGAUGAGAAGGAUGACAAACAGAGAUUGAAAAGCAAGGUGACUAAGAUGGAUCAGGAGAGAGCAGAGCUGGCACAAUGAAAGGAAGACACUGAUGGUAAGGCAGAUUCAGUGUGUGUGUGUUGGGGGUGGGAGGCGGCAUGGUGACCAGAUGUUGGUGGGAAAGUGCAUAGCUAGAGCCUGGAAAGAGGAAGAGAAAUUGGAAAAAGCUCAUCAAUGCUAACUACAGUGAAGGAUAAAAUGGUACUCUCACACCUAAUUUAUAGGGAAAAUAAUCAGAGCAAUUUACCUUUAGAUACCAAUACAAUACCAUGAUAACUUUUAUCACAAUGGCCAUUUCCUAAUGACUAUCAAACAUCUUAAUUUCUUUUAUAAAGGUGGUGAUUGGGACAACUUGCAUAUCAAAGUCACUAAAUCAAUAAAUAAAAAACAGAAUUUAAACCAGCAUUAGCAUAAGCA
rnacentral:lncRNA from 1 species